rnacentral:rRNA from 1 species
AGAGUUUGAUCCUGGCUCAGAACGAACGCUGGCGGCAGGCUUAACACAUGCAAGUCGAACGCACCGCAAGGUGAGUGGCAGACGGGUGAGUAACGCGUGGGAACGUGCCCUUCAGUUCGGAAUAACCCAGGGAAACUUGGGCUAAUACCGGAUACGUGCGAGAGCAGAAAGAUUUAUCGCUGAAGGAUCGGCCCGCGUCUGAUUAGCUGGUUGGUAGGGUAAUGGCCUACCAAGGCGACGAUCAGUAGCUGGCUGAGAGGAUGAUCAGCCACAUUGGGACUGAGACACGGCCCAAACUCCUACGGGAGGCAGCAGUGGGGAAUAUUGGACAAUGGGCGCAAGCCUGAUCCAGCCAUGCCGCGUGAGUGAUGAAGGCCUUAGGGUUGUAAAGCUCUUUCGUCCGGGACGAUAAUGACGGUACCGGAAGAAGAAGCCCCGGCUAACUUCGUGCCAGCAGCCGCGGUAAUACGAAGGGGGCUAGCGUUGUUCGGAAUCACUGGGCGUAAAGGGCGCGUAGGCGGCCUGAUAAGUCGGGGGUGAAAGCCUGUGGCUCAACCACAGAAUUGCCUUCGAUACUGUCGGGCUUGAGACCGGAAGAGGUAAGUGGAACUGCGAGUGUAGAGGUGAAAUUCGUAGAUAUUCGCAAGAACACCAGUGGCGAAGGCGGCUUACUGGUCCGGUUCUGACGCUGAGGCGCGAAAGCGUGGGGAGCAAACAGGAUUAGAUACCCUAGUAGUCC